rnacentral:rRNA from 1 species
AUUGAACGCUGGCGGCAGGCCUAACACAUGCAAGUCGAACGGUAGCACAGAGAGCUUGCUCUCGGGUGACGAGUGGCGGACGGGUGAGUAAUGUCUGGGAAACUGCCCGAUGGAGGGGGAUAACUACUGGAAACGGUAGCUAAUACCGCAUAAUGUCGCAAGACCAAAGAGGGGGGCCUUCGGGCCUCUUGCCAUCGGAUGUGCCCAGAUGGGAUUAGCUUGUAGGUGAGGUAACGGCUCACCUAGGCGACGAUCCCUAGCUGGUCUGAGAGGAUGACCAGCCACACUGGAACUGAGACACGGUCCAGACUCCUACGGGAGGCAGCAGUGGGGAAUAUUGCACAAUGGGCGCAAGCCUGAUGCAGCCAUGCCGCGUGUAUGAAGAAGGCCUUCGGGUUGUAAAGUACUUUCAGCGGGGAGGAAGGGAGUGAGGUUAAUAACCUUAUUCAUUGACGUUACCCGCAGAAGAAGCACCGGCUAACUCCGUGCCAGCAGCCGCGGUAAUACGGAGGGUGCAAGCGUUAAUCGGAAUUACUGGGCGUAAAGCGCACGCAGGCGGUCUGUCAAGUCGGAUGUGAAAUCCCCGGGCUCAACCUGGGAACUGCAUUCGAAACUGGCAGGCUGGAGUCUUGUAGAGGGGGGUAGAAUUCCAGGUGUAGCGGUGAAAUGCGUAGAGAUCUGGAGGAAUACCGGUGGCGAAGGCGGCCCCCUGGACAAAGACUGACGCUCAGGUGCGAAAGCGUGGGGAGCAAACAGGAUUAGAUACUCUGGUAGUCCACGCUGUAAACGAUGUCGACUUGGAGGUUGUUCCCUUGAGGAGUGGCUUCCGGAGCUAACGCGUUAAGUCGACCGCCUGGGGAGUACGGCCGCAAGGUUAAACCUCAAAUGAAUUGACGGGGGCCCGCACAAGCGGUGGAGCAUGUGGUUUAAUUCGAUGCAACGCGAAGAACCUUACCUACUCUUGACAUCCAGAGAACUUAGCAGAGAUGCUUUGGUGCCUUCGGGAACUCUGAGACAGGUGCUGCAUGGCUGUCGUCAGCUCGUGUUGUGAAAUGUUGGGUUAAGUCCCGCAACGAGCGCAACCCUUAUCCUUUGUUGCCAGCGGUCCGGCCGGGAACUCAAAGGAGACUGCCAGUGAUAAACUGGAGGAAGGUGGGGAUGACGUCAAGUCAUCAUGGCCCUUACGAGUAGGGCUACACACGUGCUACAAUGGCAUAUACAAAGAGAAGCGACCUCGCGAGAGCAAGCGGACCUCAUAAAGUAUGUCGUAGUCCGGAUUGGAGUCUGCAACUCGACUCCAUGAAGUCGGAAUCGCUAGUAAUCGUGGAUCAGAAUGCCACGGUGAAUACGUUCCCGGGCCU